rnacentral:misc_RNA from 1 species
AACGCACCUUGCGCCCUUUGGCUAUUCCGAAGGGCAUGCCUGUUUGAGUAUCAUGAACACCUCAACUCUCAUGGCUUGCCAUGACGAGCUUGGACUUUGGGGGUCUUGCCGGCCUGCGGUCGGCUCCUCUCAAAUAAAUCAGCUUACCAGUGUUUGGUGGCAUCACAGGUGUGAUAACUAUCUACGCUUGUGGUUUUCCACCAGGUAACCUUCAGUGAUGGAGGUUUGCUGGGGCUCAUAAAUGUCUCUCCUCAGUGAGGACAGCUCUUUGAACGUUUGAUCUCAAAUCAGGUAGGACUACCCGCUGAACUUAA